GAGCAGCUGACGACACCUUUUAAACCCCGUGCUGCAGAGUCAGAGGGAGAACACCACUCCAUCUCCUUCUACAGACUCACCAGCUGGUAUGAUGGUGCUGCCUGCAGGGUCCCACUUACAUUCUCAGAUCCUGACUCCAGUACUUCCAGAGAAGGUGGAUAUUUAUGUGCUGAAGGCAGCCCAGAGGAACUGUGUCUGCACCCUGGAUGUCAACAUCCUCAUCGUCACCAGAGUCAUCUCUGCUGUUUAUGACACAAAAAACACUGAGAUGACAAACAGCGGGAGAAUCACGGACUCCAGCUGAGGGGGCAGAGUUAUCAUGUCUGUGCUCUGCCAGUUUCUAAAGAGGUUUGCACAGAGCAUGAAGAGAAAGGCUACAGAGGAAGAGAGCAGCAGCAGGAGCCCCACUCCACCAAAGAAACACUUCAGACUGUGAAGCCUUUCUCAGAGAACUUGUUUUCUGAAGACUCUUUAAUAGUUUUAAGACUUUGGCACUGCUUCUGUGAACUGUGUUGGACAUAUGGCAGGGCUGUGGACUGGAUGUUGAACGAGGAACAUCUAUUGUAGAGCCAAGUGUAAAUCUGUGCAAGACGAACUAAGGAUCCAUACAGACAGUGCCAAGUGUUCAUUAUCCUCUGCUGCAUCUCAGACAUCAGCAAGAACCAACACAGUGAAUCUGGUGAAAAGAAGAAACAAAAAGAGACACACCACAAACGGGUUUCCCUGACUAACAUGAGAGGAGCAGUAACUGCAUACGGAGAAAGAAACAGGAGCAUCCAAAGACAGCUGAGAGUCUUCAGUGCACCGUGAACAGCAGUCACCUCAGAGCAGGAGAGUCCUGGUGGCUGUCUGGGUUCUCUCCAGGAGCUUGGAGAUAAGAUACCAUAACUUAAAAAAAUGUUUAGAACAAGUGUGAGCCUCUUUUACAACUUUACUUACAUCGUUCAAAUGUAAGAGCUGUUGUGACGUCUGGUGAGGGUGUGCCCACACCUAAUCUAAACCGAGCUUUAGUCCCUCUCGUACUUGGUUGAGUAUUGGCUUCAGCUGCACCAGUGCCUGCAACGUGAGGGCACUAAUAGACAGGGAGGAAAUACUACUUGAAUUAAUUCUGAAUGAAGACGUCAUGCCAAAUAUUCUUUGAUAGCCAUUACAGUCAUGAAUACACAGACUUUAUGGUUGCUUUUUUUCCUGUCAACAUGUAUUGUUCCCAAAUGACCACGGGCCACAACUGGAUCAGAUAGUUCCAUCAUUUCUCUUCAUCUGCAUUUUCGAUCUGAAAGCAGAAACAACCAUAACGAGGAGAAAUGGAAUUUUUAUAUUUAUGAACGAGGACUGUGUGGAGGAGAGCCGAGUCAGGUAACAGGUUGUUCACCUGACCGACAAGCUGGAGUCAGAACCUGUGAUUUAUCCUCCCUGACUAUUGAGUUAUGUUAUAUGCUGAUGUUAUUUUCUUGUUUUGAGCCAAACCAGAUUUCUCUAUAGGAACUCUGUGUUAAAGGGUCAAUGCACCAAAUUAUGUUUUGAUAAGCGUUCAUUUCUCAUGCAAGGAAAGACACAAACUUCUCAGAGGGAUUAUUAGUGGGCACAAUUUAAAGAGCUCAUAUCACUACGUUGGCUUUAUCAGCCCUGCACAGAACAGAUCGGUCUUAGACUUUUAGAUUCUCUUAAAUAAGUAGAAUCUGAAACUGAAGGUUUUAGAUUAAAUCUGAUUCCUAAAUCAAGAAGUAAAGCUUAAAGAAUAACCUAGGUUUGUAAUUUGGAACAAAGUUGUGUUAACUAAAACUAUCUUGAACUAAGGAAGGUUAAGUGUGACCUUCUUAGCUGCAAACCUAGAACUGGUCUAGUAGCUUUUAUAUCUGUCUUACUGUGACAUAAGUGCUGCAAAAGGGGUUUAUUUCUUUCUCUCUCUCUCUCUCUCUCUCUCUCGCUCUCUCUCACUCUCUCUCUCUCUCUCUCUCAGUCCCUCUCUCUAAUUUUACUGUAUUUUCUCUAUAUAUGAUGUAGGUUUGGAUUUUCCCUGCUAAAUUGUGAUGGUCUGGCAGUCUCCAUCAGUCGACCUGCCUCGUGCCAGUUUAUGGGUGUCAUCAGGCCGGAAGGUGUUUCCCGUGUUGAAGCCGCCACACCUGUCUUCCGUCUAGAUUGGCCACGACAUAACUGAGCUUCAGUCAACGCUGGAUCGUUGAGUUACCGAGAACUUGGAGAGGAGUGUGUCAUGGAGCAAAGUAUUUGUAAAUGUCGAGUGUUGGAGUUGUUUGCCUGUCACACCUGGACCACGAGCACAGUCCUGCAGGAUGGGAAUGUCCUGCAUUUGGGCCCCGUUCUCACCAAGCACCUUAACAUAAAUAAUAAACACUUUGAUUGAGAAACUGCAUUUUUUGUUUACUUUUUGUUAUCUUUGUCUAAUAUUUAAAUUUGUUUAAUGAUCUGAAACACUUUUUCACACCACUGUAUGUACGUAGAAGUUCUGUUCAACAACUAUGAACAGAAUCAUUCCAACAAUGUGAACCAAGCUGUCACUGCAACUGUACUAAUGCCCAGUUUGUAACAACAGACAUGAUGCCUCAUACUACA